rnacentral:tRNA from 1 species
GAGGAUGUAGCUUAGUAGUAGAGCAACUGCCUAGCAUGCAGAAGACCCCAAGUGCAAACCCUAGCACCACCA